UACGUAGGGUGCGAGCGUUAAUCGGAAUUACUGGGCGUAAAGCGUGCGCAGGCGGUUCUGAAAGUCAGCUGUGAAAGCCCCGGGCUUAACCUGGGAAUUGCGGUUGAAACUACAGGGCUAGAAUCUGGCAGAGGGGGGUGGAAUUCCACGUGUAGCAGUGAAAUGCGUAGAGAUGUGGAGGAACACCGAUGGCGAAGGCAGCCUUCUGGGCCAAUACUGACGCUCAUGCACGAAAGCGUGGGGAGCAAACAGG
rnacentral:rRNA from 1 species